GAUGAACGCUGGCGGCGUGCCUGAUACAUGCAAGUCGAGCGAACAGACGAGGAGCUUGCUCCUCUGACGUUAGCGGCGGACGGGUGAGUAACACGUGGAUAACCUACCUAUAAGACUGGGAUAACUUCGGGAAACCGGAGCUAAUACCGGAUAAUAUAUUGAACCGCAUGGUUCAAUAGUGAAAGACGGUUUUGCUGUCACUUAUAGAUGGAUCCGCGCCGCAUUAGCUAGUUGGUAAGGUAACGGCUUACCAAGGCAACGAUGCGUAGCCGACCUGAGAGGGUGAUCGGCCACACUGGAACUGAGACACGGUCCAGACUCCUACGGGAGGCAGCAGUAGGGAAUCUUCCGCAAUGGGCGAUAGCCUGACGGAGCAACGCCGCGUGAGUGAUGAAGGUCUUCGGAUCGUAAAACUCUGUUAUUAGGGAAGAACAAAUGUGUAAGUAACUAUGCACGUCUUGACGGUACCUAAUCAGAAAGCCACGGCUAACUACGUG
rnacentral:rRNA from 1 species